rnacentral:rRNA from 1 species
GACGGUGCACGCCGCGUGAGUGAUGAAGGUUUUCGGAUCGUAAAGCUCUGUUGACAGGGAAGAACCCACGUCAGUCGAACAGGCUGGCGUGCUGACGGUACCUGUCCAGAAAGCCCCGGCUAACUACGUGCCAGCAGCCGCGGUAAUACGUAGGGGGCAAGCGUUGUCCGGAAUUAUUGGGCGUAAAGGGCACGCAGGCGGUUUCGUCAGUCCGAUGUGACAGGCCACGGCUCAACCGUGGAAGGCCAUUGGAAACUGCGAAACUUGAGGACAGAAGAGGAGAGUGGAAUUCCACGUGUAGCGGUGAAAUGCGUAGAUAUGUGGAGGAACACCAGUGGCGAAGGCGACUCUCUGGUCUGUACCUGACGCUGAGGUGCGAAAGCAUGGGGAGCAAACAGGAUUAGAUACCCUGGUAGUCCAUGCCGUAAACGCUGAGUGCUAGGUGUUAGGGGUUUCGAUACCCGUAGUGCCGAAGCUAACGCAUUAAGCACUCCGCCUGGGGAGUACGACCGCAAGGUUGAAACUCAAAGGAAUUGACGGGGGCCCGCACAAGCGGUGGAGCAUGUGGUUUAAUUCGACGCAACGCGAAGAACCUUACCAGAUCUUGACAUCUUCCGCUACGCCUCGAGAGAGGCGGUUCCCCUUCGGGGGACGGAAUG